rnacentral:rRNA from 1 species
AAUGAACGCUGGCGGCGUGGUUAAGACAUGCAAGUCGAACGGAUUUUCAGGUGUAGCAAUACAUUUGAAAGUCAGUGGCGAACGGUUGCGUAACCCGUGAACAAUCUACCACUUAGUGUGGAAUAGCUCGCCGAAAGGCGAAUUAAUACCGCAUGUUGUUGUUUCCAGCACGGGCGGCAUACUAAAGACAGGGACCCUACGGCCUUACUCCAAUUGAGGAGGUCGCGGCCUAUCAGCUAGUUGGCGAGGUAACGGCCCACCAAGGCUAAGACGGGUAGCUGAUCUGAGAGGAUAAUCAACCACACUGGAACUGAGACACGGGCCAGACACCUACGGGUGGCAGCAGGUUCGAAUCAUUCCCAGUGGGCGAAAGCCUGAUGGUGCGACGCCGCGUGAGGGAUGAAGGUCUUCGGAUUGUAAACCUCUGUCACUGGGGAGAAAACGCUUUGGGUUAACAGUUCAAAGCCUGAUUUAACCCGGAGAGGAAGCAGUGGCUAACUCUGUGCCAGCAGCCGCAGUAAAAC